CUGUGCUUAUGUAAAUGGAUGAGUGCUAAUCGCUUUGCUAAUGGGAAACACACAGGGAGAUAGGAUCUGCAGCAAAGCGGAAGGGCUUUCAGAAAAUUAGAGCUGGGAAAAACCCCAAAGAAAUCUGGGAAGAUGAUAAGGCAAUGCCCAAGAACUCACAGCAGCGCUGUGGGAGGGUGGGCUCUGGGGCAGAGGGGAGCUCCUGAAGCAUCAGCCAGUCCUGGAGACUCAAGUCCAAGGGAGGCAGGGCUGUGAGUAGUCAUCCAGCUGCCUUGGGCCCAGAGCAGCUUGAAGAGCAGAUUCCAUCUCCUUGAGCCAGGCCCACUUGCUGGGCAGCCUCGCCCAGAAUUCCUGGACAAUUCCUCUUUGCUUUGCCCUAUGCUGGGUUCUGGUAUCACACAGCCACAUCUAAACCCUGCGUCCCAGGAGAAGAGUUCAGCCAGAGUAGCCAACCCAGUCUAAUGGAAAAUUUGGAAGGAUGUUCAUCAUCUUGCCGCGUCUCUGUUUGUGUUCUAUUUCAGCCUAACAUGAAGGGAGCAUCAUCUUCGUUUUCACCAGCUCAGAGGGCAAAGCAUCUUGUCCUGGGUCACACAGCACAUCUGCAGAGAAACUGAGGCCUACUGCUCACCAGAUGUGUGGAUGAACAAACCUGAACAGCCUGGAGGCUGGUGAUAUCUACCCCCACAGCGCUUCUUCCUUGGUCCCCCAAGCAGGCUCCAUAACUCCAAGACUUCACGCAGCCUUUUCUGAACUUGGAAGUCAAGAGAAAAUUCACAGAACUUUGGAAAAUACAUUUUCUUUUAAGGAAGAAUUUUUUGUUUUCAUUUCAACAGCCCUGGCUGGUGAUGAGGGGUGAUGCGAGGUGCCCUGUUUUCCAUCCUAACACCUAUUUCCAGGUGGGGGCAGGGAGGGCUCCAACCUGAAAUGUUAUUUCAAAACCUUUCCGGGCCUUGCAGCUCCAUUUCCAGGCCACAUGCUGCAAAGCACGGCACGAUUUCCCAUUACGUGCUGUUGCCCUUUCUCGUCUGAGCACCUUUCAAAGUGGGAAGACCCAGCCUGCUGCAACACCCUCCCUCCUGUCCCCAUAAAUUAAGUCUCACUGCCUGAUGUGAGGCUUAAAUAAAUAGCCUUGCCCGGCACCCGAUGGCCACACUCCUGAUAGAUGGGCUUGCCAAGAGCAGCAAACUCAGCUCGCUCCUCCUUGCCCCUCCACAGAGAGAAGAUGAAACUGGUGUUUUGCAAAUGCUUCCUGCCUGCUUUCUGCCAGCCAAGGCACAUUCCAAGAAGGAGCAGGCCAGCAAAGUCUUGUCAUCUGACGGGGUGAGGACAGAGAUGGAUGAUGCGCUCUUUGCCAGAGAAGGCCACGUUCAGACACUCCCAGAUAGCCAGCUGCCACUUUAUUAACAGCAAAGAUCCCCAUCUGAACGAGGCUGGGAAAGAAAAUAUUUAUGCUUGCCUGUCAGGAGGACCUUCAUUUUUCUUCUGGGGAGCCAGCCAGGGUGCUAGUCCAGGGAUGGAGGAGUGUGACGUGCCUAUGGGGUUGCCCCAGGCCCUUCUGCAUCCCAGGGUUGAUGGAGAGUCCAGAAUGUUCCCAGGGCAGCUCUGGAUGGGGUCGGGAGGUUUCAGAAGAGCUGGAUAUAGGGAGUUCAGGGCCUGAGAAAGCAGAACACACCCUGGCACCUGUUAACUGCAAACAAGAGGACCUGGGUGGGGGAGUGGGUGCUACAGUUAGAAAUCAGUGGCAAAUAGGCCAUUAAAUGAUCUCAUUAUUAAUUAAAAACACAUAGCAGCAUGCAUCUGAUAAGAAACUUUGUACUAAGGAUAAAAUAAUUUUGUAUUGGCAGAAAAUAUCAACACUGGAGCAGAGCUUAUCAUUUAAGCUGGGCAUAUAUUAAAAUCAGUUUAUAUUAUUACUCUUCUCAUGGUCAUUAUUUUGAACAAAAGUUGAAAACCAGUUCUUUAACGGUUUC
rnacentral:lncRNA from 10 species